rnacentral:rRNA from 1 species
CCUACGGGAGGCAGCAGUGGGGAAUAUUGCACAAUGGGGGAAACCCUGAUGCAGCAACGCCGCGUGAGUGAAGAAGUAUUUCGGUAUGUAAAGCACUAUCAGCAGGGAAGAAGAUGACGGUACCUGACCAAGAAGCACCGGCUAACUACGUGCCAGCAGCCGCGGUAAUACGUAGGGGGAAAGAGUUAUCCGGAUGUACUGGGUGUAAAGGUAGCGCAGACUGCAGUGCAAGUCUGGAGUGAAAGCCCGGGGCCCAACCCCGGAACUGCUCUGGAAACUGUGCGGCUAGAGUACUGGAGGGGCGGGCGGAAUUCCUAGUGUAGCGGUGAAAUGCGUAGAUAUUAGGAGGAACACCAGUGGCGAAGGCGGCCUGCUGGACAGUAACUGACGUUGAGGCUCGAAAGCGUGGGGAGCAAACAGGAUUAGAUACCCGAGUAGUC